rnacentral:rRNA from 1 species
GUGAGGGGAGUGAAAUAGAUCCUGAAACCGCAUGCAUACAAGCAGUGGGAGCCGACUUGUUCGGUGACUGCGUACCUUUUGUAUAAUGGGUCAGCGACUUACAUUCAGUAGCAAGGUUAACCGCAUAGGGGAGCCGUAGAGAAAUCGAGUCUUAAUAGGGCGAAUAGUUGCUGGGUGUAGACCCGAAACCAGGCGAUCUAUCCAUGAGCAGGUUGAAGGUUGGGUAACACUAACUGGAGGACCGAACCCACUGUCGUUGAAAAGCCAGGGGAUGACUUGUGGAUAGGGGUGAAAGGCUAAUCAAGCCUGGUGAUAGCUGGUUCUCCCCGAAAGCUAUUUAGGUAGCGCCUCGGACGAAUACCAUAGGGGGUAGAGCACUGUUUCGGCUAGGGGGUCAUCCCGACUUACCAAACCGAUGCAAACUCCGAAUACCUAUGAGUACUAUCCGGGAGACAGACUGCGGGUGCUAACGUCCGUAGUCAAGAGGAAAACAAUCCAGACCGCCAGCUAAGGCCCCAAAAUCAUAGUUAAGUGGGAAACGAUGUGGGAAGGCAUAGACAGCUAGGAGGUUGGCUUAGAAGCAGCCACCCUUUAAAGAAAGCGUAAUAGCUCACUAGUCGAGUCGGCCUGCGCGGAAGAUGUAACGGGGCUAAAACUAUGUGCCGAAGCUGCGGAUGUAACUUUAGAGUUACGUGGUAGGGGAGCGUUCUGUAAGCCGAUGAAGGUGUAUUGAGAAGUAUGCUGGAGGUAUCAGAAGUGCGAAUGCUGACGUGAGUAACGACAAAACGGGUGAAAAACCCGUUCGCCGAAAGACCAAGGGUUCCAGUCCAACGUUAAUCGGGGCUGGGUGAGUCGACCCCUAA